rnacentral:rRNA from 1 species
CUACGGGUUGCAGCAGUGGGGAAUAUUGCACAAUGGACGAAAGUCUGAUGCAGCAACGCCGCGUGGAGGAUGACACAUUUCGGUGCGUAAACUCCUUUUAUAUAGGAAGAUAAUGACGGUACUAUAUGAAUAAGCGCCGGCUAACUCCGUGCCAGCAGCCGCGGUAUACGGAGGGCGCAAGCGUUACUCGGAAUCACUGGGCGUAAAGAGCGUGUAGGCGGAUAGAUAAGUUGGGAGUGAAAUCCUAUGGCUCAACCAUAGAACUGCUUCCAAAACUGUUUAUCUAGAGUAUGGGAGAGGUAGAUGGAAUUUCUGGUGUAGGGGUAAAAUCCGUAGAGAUCAGAAGGAAUACCGAUUGCGAAGGCGAUCUACUGGAACAUUACUGACGCUGAGACGCGAAAGCGUAGGGAGCAAACAGGAUUAGAUACCCGUGUAGUC